AUUCUACUCCCUCCAUUCCACAAUACAUGCCUUCUAUUUGUCAAAAUAUAGAUGUAUCUAGACAUGUUUUAGUAUAUAGGUACAUCCAUUUUUGGACAAAUGGAAGUCAAGUAUUUUGGAACGGAGGGAGUACACA
rfam:Triticum aestivum genome assembly, contig: Triticum_aestivum_CS42_TGACv1_scaffold_222418_3B